GAUCAUGGCUCAGGACGAACGCUGGCGGCGCGCCUAACACAUGCAAGUCGAACGGAGUGAAGCCCUUCGGGACUUUACUUAGUGGCGAACGGGUGAGUAACGCGUGAGGAACCUGCCUUUCAGUGGGGGACAACAGUUGGAAACGACUGCUAAUACCGCAUAAUGCUUCUGAGUGGCAUCACUUGGAAGCCAAAGAUUUAUUGCUGAAAGAUGGACCCGCGUUGGAUUAGCUAGUUGGCAGGGUAACGGCCUACCAAGGCGACGAUCCAUAGCCGGCCUGAGAGGGUGGACGGCCACAUUGGGACUGAGACACGGCCCAGACUCCUACGGGAGGCAGCAGUGGGGAAUCUUCCGCAAUGGACGAAAGUCUGACGGAGCAACGCCGCGUGAACGAUGACGGCCUUCGGGCUGUAAAGUUCUGUUAUACGGGACGAAUGGCGUAGCGGUCAAUACCCGUUACGAGUGACGGUACCGUAAGAGAAAGCCACGGCUAACUACGUG
rnacentral:rRNA from 1 species